GAUGAACGCUGGCGGCGUGCCUAAUACAUGCCAGUCGAGCGAACAGACGAGGAGCUUGCUCCUCUGACGUUAGCGGCGGACGGGUGAGUAACACGUGGAUAACCUACCUAUAAGACUGGGAUAACUUCGGGAAACCGGAGCUAAUACCGGAUAAUAUAUUGAACCGCAUGGUUCUAUAGUGAAAGACGGUUUUGCUGUCACUUAUAGAUGGAUCCGCGCCGCAUUAGCUAGUUGGUAAGGUAACGGCUUACCAAGGCAACGAUGCGUAGCCGACCUGAGAGGGUGAUCGGCCACACUGGAACUGAGACACGGUCCAGACUCCUACGGGAGGCAGCAGUAGGGAAUCUUCCGCAAUGGGCGAAAGCCUGACGGAGCAACGCCGCGUGAGUGAUGAAGGUCUUCGGAUCGUAAAACUCUGUUAUUAGGGAAGAACAAAUGUGUAAGUAACUAUGCACGUCUUGACGGUACCUAAUCAGAAAGCCACGGCUAACUACGUG
rnacentral:rRNA from 1 species